AAAUAUCCUAUAUUUUUACAUUUGUUGAUUUUAUUUGUGCCUUCUUUUUCCUGUGGAUUUGGCAAAAGUUAUUAAAAAUAACAUUUUUUUCUUUUUUUUGCUUUUCUUAUAUUUUACUAUUUGUAUAUAUAUAUACUACUAUACUGAAUGUAUUACAUAUAAAUAUACAUACCUAUACAUAAGUAUAAAUCCAGCUUAAUACAAAAACGAACUUACAAAAUUGAAAAAAUUAUAACACUUUAGUUUUACUCCUCUAUUUUUAACUACAUAUAUAUACGCACUUAUGUUAAUUAAAAAAAAAAAAAAAACUAAAAAAAAGCAAUAAAUACAAAACAAUGAAUUUUUUUUUACGUAAAUCCAACGUAAGAAGUACCAAAUCUGAAGUAAUUCAGAAGGUAAAAAAUAAUAACCACGAGAUAAACAAUAGGCACGACAUAAACAGUAGCCACGACAUAAACAAUAGCCAUGGCGUAAACAAUAGCCAUAACAUAAAAAACACCCAUAACAUACAAAACACCCAUAACAUACAAAAUACCCAUAACAUACAAAAUACCAAUAACAUACAAAAUACCCAUAACAUACAAAAUACUCAUAACAUACAAAAUACCCAUAAUAACAUACACAAUAGCAAUAUAAAUAAAGACAACAAUGAUGACAUAGUAUCAGUAAUAAAUGAACAAGUGGACAAUAAUUAUAGUAAUAGGAACCAAUACGUCAAAAAUAAUAACAUCAUAUCAAAUAAUAUAAUAAAUAAUAUGCCAGAUUAUAACAACUAUCAUAAUAAAGAAGAUAAUCCUUUAGAAUAUAAGUUUAUGAAUAACAUGACAAACAAUAUAAAAACAAAUAGAAAUAAUACAUCAAUGUAUAUUAUUAAUUCACCCCGUUCUCAAUCUAUUAAUUUGAGACCUCCUAAUAAAAUGAAUAGAACUGCGAGUGUUUACGGGAGGAUUUACGAAGAUAGACUGCCUUCGAGUGCUUACUAUUCUAAUAAUAUAAAUAACAGUUUAGAUAUACCACAUAAAUUUGGAAUGAUGCCUGAUCGUAAUGAAAGUUAUAAAACACAAGGGAACUCACAAAUAGUUGAACAAUCUAUAGAAUUACUUAAACAUUUAAUAAAUCAAGAGAGUAGGGAAGGGCAUAUUCUACAUCCACAAGAAAAUGAGAAAAUAAAUAAAUUGAUGUUGAAUUUAGCUGACCAAGUAAUAUCAAAUGAUAAUAAUUUUAAAAAUCCAAAUACAGAUCAUUACUUAAAUAGUAGUAAUAUCAACAAUAUAAAGAGUGAUGAAUUUUAUAAAAAAAAAAUGGACAUGUUAAAUUUUAAAUUUCAAAAAUUAAAAAAUGAGUAUACUAACAUAAAUCAUGAAAAUAUAUAUCUUAAAAAACAUUUAAAAAACUUAAAAGAUAACUAUUCAAUGACAAAUAUGAAAAGUGCAACCACCUCUUUAACAAAAGUUAGAACGCAAGAAGACAUGAUAAAAAAUAAUGAAAUUAAUAAUGAUCAUAUUUUAAAACAAAAUCAAAUAUACGAAUUUAAAAUAAAUAGAAGAACUAAUACUAAUGAUUUAUCAUCUUCUUCAUCUAUUUCUUUAAUUUCACAAUCCCCUAAAAAGAAUAUGGUGGAUAAUACUGUACAAAAUGAUUAUACAUUAAAGAAUGUUACUACACCAUUUUCUGAUAUGGUUGAUAGGACAAGAAAAAUUCGUAGUUGUGAUUCAGAGAGUAAUGCAAAUAUUAGUAAUAAUGUCCAUUUAGAAAAUAGUAGCAGUAACAAUACAUCAUACUCAAAUGUUAUUAGCGAAGAGGUAUUAAAAAAAAUUAAAGAACAACUGAGAGAUGAACUUACACAACAAAUAACUAUCGAAUUAGAGACAAAAUAUAAACAAAAUAAAUUAAAUAUUAUUAAUAGUAUGAACAAAACGGAUGAUGCACUUACAAAUCAAAAAUCAAAAGAACCUGAUGAUGUAUAUUCUAUUUCUGAUAACUGUCGUAAUAUGUUAGAUGAACGAAUAAAUGAUACAGUAAGUAGUUAUAAAAAAAAAAUUAUAAAUAAUUUAAAAAAUAUAUUGAAUGAGUAUGAAGCUGCUGAUGAUACCAAUAAUCAUCAAAUAAAUACAAAAGAAAAAUUUAAUAACAUAGAAGAAGACCAUGUUUAUUCCUUACAAAAUAACAUAAACGAAGAUGAUAUCCAACAAAAUAAUAUCCAAACAAAAAAUAACGACUUGUCUUUACAAUUGUUCAAAGACAAAAUCAAUGAAUGCUUAAAAAUUUUAGACAACCUUAGCAAAAUUAAACAAACUGUAUUAGAAAAAAAACAAAAAAAAAUAAAUGAACAUAACAAUUUAAUCAAUGCUUUGAAUAAUAUAAAUUCAGAUAUGGAUGAUAUAGAUAAUUUGAUAAGUCAUAUGAAUGAAAAUCUUUGUGAGGUAGGUGGUACUUUGAACAACCAGGAAGUCGACUCAGAAGAGUUUAAUGCCGUCAGUACUGUUUUGGCUAGUGUUUUAUCUAAUAAGGAAUCGACGGAAGAAGAUGAUAACAUCACAUGUGACAUGACAGGUGAUGAUACAGACGACAAUAGAAGCGAAAAUAAGAGCGACAAUAAGAGCGACAAUACGAGUGACAAUAAGAGAGACAAUACGAGUGACAAUAAGAGCGACAAUAGGGGUAACAUCCCAUGGAACAACAAAAGUAACAUUGCAGAUGGCAAUAUGGCCAAACCAAACGAUGUUAGCAAUUUUACAAAGACUACACAGUUUGAUAAAACUCAUGACACAGUAUAUUCCAAUAAAAUCGAAAAAAAUAAAGAAAAUAACAAACAGAUUGAAAAUAACAAACAGAUUGAAAAUAACAAACAGAUUGAAAAUGACAAACAGAUUGAAAAUGACAAACAGAUUGAAAAUGACAAACAGAUUGAAAAUGAUUGUGUAGAGUUUGGCAUAUUAACACCUAAUGACAACAUUGAUAUUGUAAGUAAUAUAUCGGUGAAAGAAAGUGAUGAUAUUGUUGAAAAAAAUAGUAUAAAAAAAAAAGUAAAUAGUAUUGCAUAUACUAAAGUAUUGAAAAAAAAAAAUUUGAGCGACAAUUUUGAUAACAAUGCAGAAUUAUGGUCAAAUAGUGAAAAUAAUAAUAGUACUAUUAUUAAUAAUAGUUGUUACGAUAUGACAAGCGGUUACGAUAUGACAAGCGGUUACGAUAUGACAAGCGGUUACGAUGUGACAAGCGGUUACGAUGUGACAAGCGGUNNNNNNNNNNGCGGUUACGAUGUGACAAGCGGUUACGAUGUGACAAGCGGUUACGAUAUGAAUAAUAAUAACAAUAAUAAUAAUAACAAUAACAAUAACAAUAAUAAUAAUAAUAAUAGCUAUGCCUUAAAUAAUACCCCCCUUGGGUAUAACGUUGAUACGAACUACACUCAUAAUAAUAUACCAGAAGAAAAUAAUAGUAACGUGUUUUUUUUUGCAAAUGGAAAUAUUCCUAACGACUGUAAUAAUAAUUACAUAGAAAAUGAAAACACUCCUGGUUUUGUUUAUACGUAUAAUCAUACAGAUAAUAAUGUCAAAGAACCUAAUUUUCCUUUAAACGAUGAAUAUACAAAUAAACAAAAAGAAAACAUGUCUUAUAUGAAAUUUGAUAAUAACAUGGAAAGUGGUAAUACUAAUAAAAAUGAAAAUUAUAAUCAAAAUUAUAAUAUAAUUCAUAGUGAUGAACAAACACAUAUGGAUAACAUUUAUAUGCUUAAUCAAUAUAAUAAUAAAAAUACCUAUGAAGGACAUAACAUAACAACGCAACCAUCCGUUACGAAUAUAAAAAACGAUUUCGAUUUUUCUACUAGUGGUAGAAGUACCGGAAUGGGUGUUGAAUUAAACUCAGUUGAUCAUAAAAAUAACAAGUACGAUUUAUUUUAUACUAUGAAUGAACAGGAUAAUGAAGGUAGUAAUAAUAUAACCUAUAUAAAUGAACAUAUUAUUCAACAGCCCAAUGGAUUGAAACCCAAAGCAUACUCAAAUUAUAGUGAAACUUCUAACAUAAAAAGAGUAAAUGGCACUGCAGUAAAUCUAAGUAAAAACCAUACCACAGAUUUAUCUCAAAAUAAUAAAAAUAAAUUGUCAUUAAAAAGUGAAGUUCAUCAUAGCGGGUUGAAAAUGCAAAAAAACAGAGUCAAAAAAAAACUUGAAGACCUAUUCGCAUGAUUAUACAAAUAUGUACAUAUAUACAUAUUCUCCUGGUAUUACUAGUAACUGUACAUAUUGUUUGGGGCAGAAACAUAAAAAAAAAAAAAAAUAAAAAAAUAAAAAAAAAAAAAUGUAUGAUUUUA
rnacentral:lncRNA from 1 species